CAAGGAAUAGUUUAAGUAGAAUAUCAGCUUUGGGUGCUGAUGGUAGGACUGUAGUUUUUUCCUUGA
rnacentral:tRNA from 1 species